rnacentral:rRNA from 1 species
GUCGAACGGUAACAGGAAGCAGCUUGCUGCUUUGCUGACGAGUGGCGGACGGGUGAGUAAUGUCUGGGAAACUGCCUGAUGGAGGGGGAUAACUACUGGAAACGGUAGCUAAUACCGCAUAACGUCGCAAGACCAAAGAGGGGGACCUUCGGGCCUCUUGCCAUCGGAUGUGCCCAGAUGGGAUUAGCUAGUAGGUGGGGUAACGGCUCACCUAGGCGACGAUCCCUAGCUGGUCUGAGAGGAUGACCAGCCACACUGGAACUGAGACACGGUCCAGACUCCUACGGGAGGCAGCAGUGGGGAAUAUUGCACAAUGGGCGCAAGCCUGAUGCAGCCAUGCCGCGUGUAUGAAGAAGGCCUUCGGGUUGUAAAGUACUUUCAGCGGGGAGGAAGGCGAUAAGGUUAAUAACCUUGUCGAUUGACGUUACCCGCAGAAGAAGCACCGGCUAACUCCGUGCCAGCAGCCGCGGUAAUACGGAGGGUGCAAGCGUUAAUCGGAAUUACUGGGCGUAAAGCGCACGCAGGCGGUCUGUCAAGUCGGAUGUGAAAUCCCCGGGCUCAACCUGGGAACUGCAUUCGAAACUGGCAGGCUAGAGUCUUGUAGAGGGGGGUAGAAUUCCAGGUGUAGCGGUGAAAUGCGUAGAGAUCUGGAGGAAUACCGGUGGCGAA